AUGUGAGGGCUGGAAAGAAGGCUUGCCAGUGGACAACAGCUGAACCCUGAGAGACAGUGACUGGUUGGCUCAGAGAACAGUCCUGCACGACAGUCAGAAACCAAGGUUUGACUCUCAGAAUUUGAAGUUGGGCAAAUGGAUCUUAUCAGGAACCCCACAUCUUGAGGCGACAUACAAAAGAUUUUUCGGUGAGAGAGAGUAACAGAGCAGAGCCUCAGUGACAGAAGAGGACGAAGGAGAGAGUGACAGGACUGAGCCUCGGUGACAGAAGAGGACGGAGGAGAAGAAAGUUUGGUUUGCUCAUGGAGACUUAAGACCUGCUCGGGGAGACUGGGAACCUCAGCCCGGUGCAGUUCCGAUGGACCGUGGCCACAUUGCCCCACUACUAUCAAUCACACUGAGACGUGAUCCACAGCAUCCAACAAGCCACUACUCGUGGGAUGGGGGUUAGGCAAAAGGAACAGCUAAGACAGCAGAGCAGCCCAGUACUCUGAACCCCUAGUUAAGCCUCUCCGGUGGAUUCCUUUGGUAAAGUUUUCCUUUGUGGGUUUCUUUCAGCACUUGACCCAUAGCCCAUGGAAUGUGUCAGCUCUAAUUGCCUGUGUGGAUUGGCACAAGUCGUGCCUCCAAAUUGGAAUGUUGUCACAUAUAACAUAGCCUUUUGGAGGGAUAAAUGUGGAAAAUGUUUUACCCGUGAA